GAUGAACGCUAGCGGCAGGCCUAACACAUGCAAGUCGAGGGGUAACGGGGUGCUUGCACCGCCGACGACCGGCGCACGGGUGCGUAACGCGUAUACAAUCUACCUUUUGCUGAGGGAUAGCCCAGAGAAAUUUGGAUUAAUACCUCAUGGUAUUAUUGAUAGGCAUCUAUUAAUAAUUAAAGGUUACGGCAAAAGAUGAGUAUGCGUCCCAUUAGCUAGUUGGUGAAGUAACGGUUCACCAAGGCAACGAUGGGUAGGGGUCCUGAGAGGGAGAUCCCCCACACUGGUACUGAGACACGGACCAG
rnacentral:rRNA from 1 species